GAUGAACGCUGGCGGCGUGCCUAAUACAUGCAAGUCGAGCGAACGGACGAUAAGCUUGCUUCUCUGAUGUUAGCGGCGGACGGGUGAGUAACACGUGGAUAACCUACCUAUAAGACUGGGAUAACUUCGUGAAACCGUAGCUAAUACCGGAUAAUAUUUUGAACCGCAUGGUUCAAAAGUGAAAGACGGUCUUGCUGUCACUUAUAGAUGGAUCCGCGCUGCAUUAGCUAGUUGGUAAGGUAACGGCUUACCAAGGCAACGAUGCAUAGCCGACCUGAGAGGGUGAUCGGCCAAACUGGAACUGAGACACGGUCCAGACUCCUACGGGAGGCAGCAGUAGGGAAUCUUCCGCAAUGGGCGAAAGCCUGACGGAGCAACGCCGCGUGAGUGAUGAAGGUCUUCGGAUCGUAAAACUCUGUUAUUAGGGAAGAACAGAUGUGUAAGUAACUGUGCACAUCUUGACGGUACCUAAUCAGAAAGCAACGGCUAACUACGUG
rnacentral:rRNA from 1 species